CAGCCGCCGCGGUAACACGGAGGAGGCUAGCGUUGUUCGGAAUUACUGGGCGUAAAGCGCACGUAGGCGGCUUGGUAAGUUAGAGGUGAAAGCCCGGAGCUCAACUCCGGAAUUGCCUUUAAGACUGCCGAGCUAGUAGGUGAGAGAGGUAAGUGGAAUUCCGAGUGUAGAGGUGAAAUUCGUAGAUAUGCGGAGGAACACCGAUGGCGAAGGCAAUCCCCUGGACCUGUACUGAUGCUCAUGCACGAAAGCGUGGGGAGCAAACAGGAUUAGAUACCCCUGUAGUCCCUGUCUCUUAUAC
rnacentral:rRNA from 1 species